UCUACAGCUAUUUUCUCCAGUUGGUGGCUGGACUCCUUCCUUUAUUCUGCAAGGGACCUGCGGGCACUUCCCAACGAGCUGGUUUGACUGAACAGCCUCACACCUAGAUUUUUCCAUAAUACUCAGGAGACAGAUGAGGUGAUCUGGCACUCCCAUUUCUUUAAGAACUUGCCAUAGUUUGCUGUGGUCGACACAGUCAAAGGCUUUUAUGUAGUCAGAGAAGCAGAAGUAGAUGUCUUUCUGGAACUCCCUAGCUUUCCCCAUAAUCCAGCAUGUUUGCAAUUUGGUCUCUGGUUCCUCUGCCCCUUCGAAAUCCAGCUUGAACUUCUGGGAGUUCUCAGUCCACAUACUGCUUAAGCCUGCCUUGUAGAAUUUUAAGCAUAACCUUGCUGGCAUAUUGAGUCUAGCACCUUAACAGCAUCAUCUUUUAAAAUUUUGUUGUUGUUUUUUUUAGAAUAUUUAUUGAAGUUUUACAAAAACAUAGGUUUGCAAAAUACAUAAAAAAAGAAAACAGGAAAAGAAAAAGAUAACAAGAGAAAACAUACAAAAAUACAUGAAAAAGAAAAAUACAAAAUACAAAAUACAAAAAACGAAUAGAUAAAAAAGAGUUAAAAACAAAUCCAUUUUUUGUAACUUUAAACUCAUUAGCUUGUUUCCUUGACCUCCUCACACCUCCCCUUUUUGUAUUCCCAUUUAAAUAACCAAAUCAGCAAAUCCUUACCCUCUUUCGUUUAUCUUAACUCUAUAUCUUAACAUAUUAUAAUUCUCUAUUUUCAUCCAUUAUCAAUUCAUUUUUUCAUAUUCUCGUUAACUUUGUUGCUAAUGUCACUUAUUUUCAAUCCAACAUAGGUUUGCAAAAUACAUAAAAAAAGAAAACAGGAAAAGAAAAAGAUAACAAGAGAAAACAUACAAAAAUACAUGAAAAAGAAAAAUACAAAAUACAAAAUACAAAAAACGAAUAGAUAAAAAAGAGUUAAAAACAAAUCCAUUUUUUGUAACUUUAAACUCAUUAGCUUGUUUCCUUGACCUCCUCACACCUCCCCUUUUUGUAUUCCCAUUUAAAUAACCAAAUCAGCAAAUCCUUACCCUCUUUCGUUUAUCUUAACUCUAUAUCUUAACAUAUUAUAAUUCUCUAUUUUCACCCAUUAUCAAUUCAUUUUUUCAUAUUCUCGUUAACUUUGUUGCUAAUGUCACUUAUUUUCAAUCCAACAUCAUUUUUAACAUUCAUUAAUUUUACAGUGUUUUCGCAAAUAGUCUUUAAAUUUUUUCCAAUCUUCUUCCACCAACACUUAUCCCAGGUCUCGAAUUCUGCCAGUCAUUUCCGCCAUUUCCAUGUAGUCCAUCACCUUCAUCUGCCACUCUUCCAGGGUGGGUAAAUCUUGUGUCUUCCAAUACUUUGCAAUGAGUAUUCUUGCUGCUGUUGUUGCAUACAUGAAGAAAGUUCUAUCCUUCUUUGGCACCAAUUGGCCGACUAUGCCCAGGAGAAAGGCCUCUGGUUUCUUCAGGAAGGUAUAUUUAAAUACCUUUUUCAUUUCAUUAUAGAUCAUCUCCCAGAAAGCCUUAAUCUUUGGGCACGUCCACCAAAGGUGAAAGAAUGUACCUUCAUUUUCUUUACAUUUCCAACAUUUGUUAUCGGGCAAAUGAUAUAUUUUUGCAAGCUUGACUGGUGUCAUGUACCACCUGUAUAUCUUUUUCAUAAUAUUCUCUCUUAAGGCAUUACAUGCCGUAAACUUCAUACCGGUGGUCCACAACUGUUCCCUGUCAGCAAACAUAAUGUUAUGACCAAUAUCUUGUGCCCAUUUAAUCAUAGCAGAUUUAACCGUUUCAUCCUGCGCAUUCCAUUUUAACAGCAAGUUAUACAUUCUUGAAAGUGUCUUAGUUUUGGGAUCUAACAAUUCUGUUUCCAAUUUUGAUUUUUCCACCUGGAAGCCAAUUUUUUUGUCCAAAUUAUAGGCCUCUCUUAUUUGAUAAUAAUGAAGCCAGUCUCGCACUUUAUCUUUUAAUUUCUCAAAAUUCUACAUUUUCAAUUUAUCUCCUUCUUGUUCCAAUAUUUCCCAAUAUUUCGGCCAUUUGGCCUCCAUAUUGAGCUUUUUCUGAGCCUUCGCUUCCAUUGGUGACAACCACCUUGGGGUUUCAUUUUCCAGUAAGUCUUUGUAUCUUAUCCAGACAUUAAACAAUGCUUUCCUUACAAUAUGGUUUUUAAAUGCUUUAUGUGCUUUAACCUUGUCGUACCACAAAUAUGCAUGCCACCCAAAAACAUUGUUAAAACCUUCUAAGUCCAAAAUGUCCGUGUUCUCAAGAAGCAGCCAGUCUUUCAACCAGCAGAAUGCUGCUGAUUCAUAGUAAAGUUUAAGGUAUGGCAGGGCAAAUCCGCCUCUUUCCUUUGCAUCAGUUAAUAUUUUAAAUUUUAUUCUGGGCUUCUUGCCCUGCCAGACAAAUCUAGAAAUAUCUCUCUGCCACUUCUUGAAACAGUCCAUCUUGUCCAAAAUUUGCAACGAUUGAAACAGAAAUAACAUUUUUGGCAAUACAUUCAUCUUUAUAGCUGCAAUUCGACCCAACAAGGAAAGCUUCAAAUUUGACCAUAUUUCUAAGUCUUUUUUCACUUCUGUCCAACAUUUCUCAUAAUUAUCUUUAAAUAAAUGUAAGUUCUUAGCCGUCAUAUUAACCCCCAGAUAUUUUACUUUCUUAACUAAAGUUAAACCUGUCUCCUUCUGAAACCUUUCUUUCUCAAUUGAUGUUAAAUUUUUCUCAAGAACUUUGGUUUUUGACUUGUUCAGCUUAAAUCCUGCCACAUGACCAAAUUCUUGAAUUAGUUCUAAUACUCUCUUCAUACUAAAUUCUGGCUCCUGUAACGUCAAAACUAGGUCAUCUGCAAAAGCUUUCAAUUUGUAUUGUUUGGCUCCGACCUGGAUACCUUUAAUCAGACGGUCCCUUCUAAUCAUAUUUAACAAAACCUCCAGGACCGAAAUAAAAAGCAAUGGGGAAAUUGGGCAGCCUUGUCGUGUCCCUUUCUCUAUCUUAAAUUCCUCUGUCAUCACAUUAUUGACUAUUAGCUUAGCCUUUUGUUCUGAAUAAAUUGCACUUAUACCAUUUUCAAACCCUUGACCCACCCCCAUCCCCUGAAGAUUUUUCUUCAUAAAAUUCCAAGAAAUAUUGUCAAAGGCUUUCUCCGCAUCUAUAAAAAUUAAAACUGCUAUAGUAUUAAUAUUCACUUGCAACUUCUCCAAAAUGUUAAUUAUGUUCCUCGUGUUGUCAUUAUCUUUUAAAAUUUUGGUUCUCAAGGAAGAGGCAGCCCAGGAAUACAAGGCAGGAAUUUACCUGGGAUCUUGCUAACAAAAUCCUUUCAUAGCUUUUUGUGAGGGAUUUGCGGCUGCUAAUCUUAAAGCCAGGAUGAGCACUCAGAAUUGGGCAUCAUUUCCUCUGUUAUUAAAAAUAAAAUACUUGUUCUGCUUCUAAAAAAACCCUUUAGAAUGCAUUCUUAUUCUUUUUUCAUAAAAAAAUUCAAACAGCUGUGCAAAGGUGCUCCUGUGCAAUGCAAUGUCAGAAUAACAAAAUAAUGAAACAUCUCACAAGAGCCUUCUUUUUUAAAUAUACAGCUAAAAAACCUUAAAACUCCUACAACACUUACCAAAUAGAAAUCUAAUAGCUGGCCCCCCCAGGCACUAGGAGGCAACCUGAUGUUCAAGGCUUCACCCCACCCCCAAACUCUGAGCUUUUGGUUUCUCUUUAGACACUCAUCUGUGGUCGCCUGGAGCAUUUGAGGGGAAAGAGAGAGAACAUUGGGGCAUACGAAGCAGACAUAGAAAAAGAAAGUGACAACCUGCUUGUAAGUGUCAUUGUUACUUGGAAGGGAACAAGUCCUGUAAGUUUAAUGUACAUAUAAUGCUGUGCUUGAAUGCAUUGUAAUAAAAAUACUAUAAAGGGAAUCAUAGAAUCAUAGAAUCAUAGAGUUGGAAGAGACCACAAGGGCCAUCGAGUCCAACCCCCUGCCAAGCAGGAAACACCAUCAGAGCACUCCUGACAUAUGGUUGUCAAGCCUCUGCUUAAAGACCUCCAAAGACGGAGACUCCACCACACUCCUUGGCAGCAAAUUCCACUGGCGAACAGCUCUUACUGUCAGGAAGUUCUUCCUAAUGUUUAGGUGGAAUCUUCUUUCCUGCAGUUUGGAUCCAUUGCUCCGUGUCCGCUUCUCUGGAGCAGCAGAAAACAACCUUUCUCCCUCCUCUAUGUGACAUCCUUUUAUAUAUUUGAACAUGGCUAUCAUAUCACCCCUUAACCUCCUCUUCUCCAGGCUAAACAUGCCCAGCUCCCUUAGCCGUUCCUCAUAAGGCAUCAUUUCCAGACCUUUGACCAUUUUGGUUGCCCUCCUCUGUACACGUUCCAGUUUCUCAGUGUCCUUCUUGAACUGUGGUGCCCAGAACUGGACACAGUACUCCAGGUGAGGUCUGACCAGAGCAGAAUACAGUGGCACUAUUACUUCCCUUGAUCUAGAUGCUAUACUCCUAUUGAUGCAGCCCAGAAUUGCAUUGGCUUUUUAGCUGCCGCGUCACACUGUUGGCUCAUGUCAAGUUUGUGGUCAACCAAGACUCCUAGAUCCUUUUCACAUGUACUGCUCUCAAGCCAGGUGUCACCCAUCUUGUAUUUGUGCCUCUCAUUUUUUUGCCCAAGUGCAAUACUUUACAUUUCUCCCUGUUAAAGUUCAUCUUGUUUGUUUUGGCCCAGUUCUCUAAUCUGUCAAGGUCGUUUUGAAGUGUGAUCCUGUCCUCUGGGGUGUUAGCCACCCCUCCCAGUUUGGUGUCAUCUGCAAAUUUGAUCAGGAUGCCCUUGAGUCCAUCAUCCAAGUCGUUGAUAAAGAUGUUGAAUAAGACUGGGCCCAAGACAGAUCCCUGUGGCACCCCACUAGUCACUCUUCUCCAGGAUGAAGAGGAACCAUUGAUGAGCACCCUUUGGGUUCGGUCAGUCAGCCAGUUACAAAUCCACUGAGUGGUAGCAUAGUCAAGACCGCAUUUUACCAGCUUCUUUACAAGAAUAUCAUGGGGCACCUUGUCAAAUGCCUUGCUGAAAUCAAGGUAGGCUACAUCCACUGCGUUCCCUUCAUCUACCAGGCUUGUAAUUCUGUCAAAAAACGAGAUCAGGUUAGUCUGACAUGACUUAUUUUUCAGAAAUCCAUGCUGACUAUUGGUGAUCACAGCCUUCCUUUCUAGGUGCUCACAGACUGUUUGCUUAAUGAUCUGCUCCAGAAUCUUCCCUGGUAUUGAUGUCAGACUGACUGGGCGGUAAUUAUUUGGGUCCUCUCUUUUCCCCUUUUUGAAAAUAGGGACAACAUUUGCCCUCCUCCAGUCUACCGGGACUUCGCCUGUUCUCCAGGAAUUCUCAAAGAUGACUGCCAGUGGUUCUGAGAUCACAUCUGCCAGUUCUUUUAAUACUCUUGGAUGCAGUUCAUCUGGCCCUGGAGACUUGAAUACAUCUAAACUAGCCAAGUAUUCUUGUACUAUCUCCUUAGUUAUUCUGGACCGUGUUUCCUCUGCUGAAUCAUUUGCUCCAAAUUCUUCAGGUCGGGCAUUGUUUUCCUUAUCGGAGAAGACUGAGGCAAAGAAGGCAUUGAGGAGUUCAGCCCUUUCUGUGUCCCCUGUUUGCAUUUCACCAUCUUCUCCUCUGAGUGACCCCACUGUUUCUUUGUUCUUCCUUUUGCUACGAACAUACCCAUAAAAGCCUUUUUGUUGCUUUUAACCUCUCUAGCAAGCCUGAGUUCAUUCUGUGCUUUAGCUUUUCUGACUUUGUGUCUACACGCGCUGGCUAUUUGUUUUAAUUCCUAUUUGGUGGUUUCCCCCUUUUCCAUUUUUGUACACAUCCUUUUUUAAUCUUAACUCAGUUAAAAGUUCUUUAGAUAGCCACCCUGGCUUCUUUAGGCACCUUCCAUGUUUCCGUCUCAAUGGUAUUGCCUGAAGUUGUGCUUUUACUAUCUCCCUCUUAACAAACUCCCAGCCCUCAUGAACUCCCUUUCCUUUUAGUAUUACUCUCCAUGGGAUCUCACCCAGCACUUCCCUAAGUUUUAUGAAGUCGGCUUUCUUAAAGUCAAGAAAUUGAGUCCUAGUAUGCUUGGCUGCUCCUUUCCGCUGUAUAGUAAACUUCAGAAGAGCAUGAUCACUUGCGCCUAAUGAUCCUUCCACUUCUACCCCACUAACCAGGUCAUCGACAUUGGUUAGGACCAGAUCUAAAAUGGCUGCUCCUCUUGUUGCUUCUCCCACUUUCUGGACAAUGAAGUUGUCUGCAAGGCCAGUGAGGAAUCUGUUUGACCUUAUGCUCUUGGCUGAGUUUGACAUCCAACAAAUAUCCGGGUAAUUGAAGUCCCCCAUUACUACUAUCUCCCUUCCUUUUGCAUGCUUGGCCAUCUGUUCCAGGAAGGCAUCAUCUAUGUCCUCCGUUUGGCUUGGGGAUCUAUAGUAAACUCCCACAAUGAGGUCACUGUUAUUCUUCUCUCCCUUAAUUUUGACCCAAAUGCUCUCACUUUGGCUUUGAGGUUCUAAAUCUUGGAUCUCUUCACAGGUAUACACAUCCCUGACAUAUAACGCCACUACUCCUCCUAUCUUGUCUGGUCUGUUUCUCUGAAAUAGAUUGUAUCCCUCCAUUAUUACAUUCCAAUCGUGGGACUUAUCCCACCAGGUUUCAGUGAUGCCUAUUAUGUCAUAUUUAGUUUGCUGUACCAAGAGCUCAAGCUCAUCUUGUUUAUUUCCCAUGCUUUGUGCAUUAGUGUACAGACAUUGAAGUCCAUUAAUCAUUCCCCCGUUUCUCUUAUUUAAGGAUUUUUUUCCCCCACCACUAGGUCUGCGUGCUGUUUGCUCCAUUUGGUCUAUGACAUUUAGAUGAUCAUCUUCAUCAAUUGAUAGACUCCUACCUUCAGUAGCACUGUCUCCCUCCCCCACAUUAGUCAGUUUCUCUUAGACUUAGGCAAGAGGUUCCACUCUGACAAAAGCAUCAGAGGAGGCUGGAUCUUUCCUCAUAACUCAUCGCUGGAGGCAUAAGCUGCAGAGCUCUCACGGAAGGAAGCUUAAACUUGAGAAGCCAGUGUGUUCUUGCUGGAGAUGGCUAGGAGAAGCAGCAGCAGCAGUUGCAAAUAAGUCAUGCAAUGUUGAAGAAGCUUAGGAUCUCCCUCUGGGACCAGGGAUAGGAAAGCUGACUGAAUUACAUAAAGGACUGAACAUUGUUUGCAAUGUGCUACUUUAUCAUGCUUAUCUUAUUGUUAGACUGUUUAAGACUGUUCUGCGGUAAAGCUUCAAAACUUAUUUUUGUGAUGGAGAGAAUUCAUUCCCACACAAGGUCCAGAUCAUGAAGACCAUGGAACAACUUUAACAGCAAGUACUUGAAGGGUACUUCAACAAGUACUUCAACAAGUACUUGAAGGGACGCGGGUGGUGCUGGUUGUUAAACCACAGAGCCUAGGGCUUGCCGAUCAGAAGGUUGGCAGUACCGCUCUGGCGGGAAGGUAAAGGGCGUUUCUGUGUGCUGCUCUGGUUCACCAGAAGUAGCUUAGUCAUGCUGGCCACAUGACCCGGAAGCUGUACGCCGGCUCCCUCGGCCAGUUAAGCGAGAUGAGCGCCGCAACCCCAGAGUUGUCUACAACUGGGUCUAAUGGUCAGGGGUACCUUUACUUGAAGGACCAAACCAAGAAUUACAACAAUCUCUUCCUCAAACUGGUUCAGCCUCCACCACCUUUACUGCAGUCAACUGAAGGCAACCAACUAGGCCCUGGGGCCCCCGAUCUUUCUCACUGCCAAUGAAAACUAAUAAAUGAAAAGGAAGAGAAGCUACCCAUAUCACACUGACACAAACACCUUGCAUAUGAACUUUGUAAAAUAAUGAAAGUGUACUACCCCUCCCCCCCUGCUUGCUCUCCCCACCUCUCAAUUCCCCAUCCUUGCACUGUAUACAACAUUAAAGUCUGUCUGUCUGUGAAUUUUUAUGAUAUCCAAACAGAGUAGCUUAUAGUUAGGAAGCCAACACCCUCCCUUCAGAUGUGAAGGAAAUAAGCAGCUAUCCUAUCCUAAAAGACAUCUGAAGGCAUCCCUGUUUAGGGAAGUUUUUAAUAUUUAAUGCUGUACUGUUUUUAACACUUGAUUGGAAGCUGCCCAAAGUGGCUGGGGAAACUCAGCCAGAUGGGCGGGGUAUAAAUAAUAAAUUAUUAUUAUUAUUAUUAUUAUUAUUAUUAUUAUUAUUUAAUGAUCUUCCUCUGUUUCACUUCAGAUAAUUCGGUGGGGCCUCUUCUCAGUUCAUUCUAUUCUGGAUCAGUGCCUUAAUCCUUUGUCGAUUCUGUAAAUCACAGAAUAACCAUUGAGGUGUCCCCAGAUGUUGUUGUCCAGUUCCCAUCAGCUUCAGCCAGCAGGGCAGACAGUCAAGGAUGAUAGAAACUCUAAUCUGGACCUCACCACCUGGACUCUGCUGCCCUAUAUCCUUCCCAUUGAAAGAAAUGUGAAAAUUAAUUUUGUACGCUAUAGAUUUAUCCUGGUCUGGUGCAUGCAAUGUCUUUUGUUUUGCAGCUGUGUGAUUUGUGCUCAUAUUGUAUUGUGGUGGCCAUUGGCUAUAAACAAUAACAUUUAUAGAUACA